CGGAGGGUGCAAGCGUUAUCCGGAUUUAUUGGGUUUAAAGGGUCCGUAGGCGGAUCCGUAAGUCAGUGGUGAAAUCUCACAGCUUAACUGUGAAACUGCCAUUGAUACUGCGGGUCUUGAGUAAGGUAGAAGUGGCUGGAAUAAGUAGUGUAGCGGUGAAAUGCAUAGAUAUUACUUAGAACACCAAUUGCGAAGGCAGGUCACUAUGUCUUAACUGACGCUGAUGGACGAAAGCGUGGGGAGCGAACAGGAUUAGAUACCCUGGUAGUCCACACCGUAAACGAUGCUAACUCGUUCUUGGGCUUUCGGGUUCAGAGACUAAGCGAAAGUGAUAAGUUAGCCACCUGGGGAGUACGUUCGCAAGAAUG
rnacentral:rRNA from 1 species